rnacentral:rRNA from 1 species
UGGGGAAUAUUGCACAAUGGGCGCAAGCCUGAUGCAGCCAUGCCGCGUGUGUGAAGAAGGCCUUCGGGUUGUAAAGCACUUUCAGCGAGGAGGAAGGUGGUGAGCUUAAUACGCUCAUCAAUUGACGUUACUCGCAGAAGAAGCACCGGCUAACUCCGUGCCAGCAGCCGCGGUAAUACGGAGGGUGCAAGCGUUAAUCGGAAUUACUGGGCGUAAAGCGCACGCAGGCGGUUUGUUAAGUCAGAUGUGAAAUCCCCGGGCUCAACCUGGGAACUGCAUUUGAAAACUGGCAAGCUAGAGUCUCGUAGAGGGGGGUAGAAUUCCAGGUGUAGCGGUGAAAUGCGUAGAGAUCUGGAGGAAUACCGGUGGCGAAAGGCGGCCCCCCUGGACGAAGACUGACGCUCAGGUGCGAAAAGCGUGGGGAGCAAAACAGGAUUAGAUACCCUGGUAGUCCACGCUGUAAAACGAUGUCGAUUUUGGAGGUUGUGCCCUUGAGGCGUGGCUUCCGGAGCUAACGCGUUAAAUCGACCGCCUGGGGAGUACGGCCGCAAGGUUAAAAACUUAAAUGAAUUGGAC